AAAAAAUCAUGAUUUAACGGUUAUUUAAACUCCGAUUUUGAUGAUUUUUUACAACUACACUCUUUAACCCUAUAUGGAUACAAUGAACUAAUUCGAUAUCGUCAAUUUAAGGCAUUUACAAAAGUGGAUACCACAAAAGAAAAAGGCAAUGCAAGAACCCCAAAAGAAAAGCAAAAGGAAAACAAAAACGUAUGUCUUCAUUGUGAAAAGCUGUUUUGCGUGGCACAAGUCUACGUACGUCGCACAAAGUUAUUUUGCACGACCCAUGUGUACCUUCGUUGCGCAAAGUUUUUUUUUUUUCUUUAUCCUAUUGCAGAUACAAACAACAUCAUCCUUUUGCAAGGAUCAGUCUCUGCCCUCUCGCCCUCUCCCCUGUGUUGUUGUUGGUUGUGCGGUACGACGUCGUCUCCUCCCGUUAAAGUUAAACUGUCUCCCUCGUCUCACUUCUCGUUACUAUCCCGAUACCUCGUUCCGAUCUCUCCAUUCUCCACGGCCCACAAUCGCAAUCCCUAAAUCAGCGAUUAUUUCAGUACAAUUGCAUCUUCUUCGGACUCAUGGAUAAAGGAAUAAAACGAAGCAACAAAACUUGCUGAUGAUAUCAGUGGUAUGAUAUUUGACUUGUUUUAAUGCAUACACCAAACUGAUAUUGGAACAAAUAUAGGAAUUGAACACUGUUGUAUGCUCUUCUUUCAUUUCCGGUUUCUAUUGGUCAAUGUCGCAUGUGACGGGGUUUAUUCCCAAGUUAUGAGUUCUUUGAGUUUGUAUUUCAUGUGAUCACCGUUUGUGAUAGAAGCUCAUGAAACUUUUGAUCAAAAUCAAACAUAGUUAUAGUAAGAUAGUCCUUCAUAAUGUAAAAGAUACUUCUGGCUA